UGUCCUGGGCUCAAGUGAUCCUCUUGCCUCAGCCUCCCAAGUAGCUAGGACUACAGGUGUACACCACUGUACCUGGUCCAGAUUUUGGAUUCUGAUUGUUGAGUUACAAUGUUAGUGAUUAUAAUAGUUUCCUAUGGCUGCUAUAGUAAACUACCACAAAUUUAGUGGAUUAAAGCAAUAUAUUCUCUCACAGUUCUCAAAGUCAGAAGCCCCAAAUCAGUUUUACUGGCUAGAAUCAGGUUCCUAGUUCCUUCUAGAACUCCAGGGAAGAAUUCUUUCAUUGUCUCUUCCAUCUUCUGGUGGUUACCAGCAUUAAAGAAUGCUUGUGGCUGCUUCAUUCCAGUCCUUCUGUUAUCAGGGGUUGCUGGAGGAAACAGAACAAAAUGGAGAGAGUAGCUUUUCAGCUGACCUGCUGCCCCUAACCAGAGUUGUUGCCAGAAUUGGAAGAAAUUAUCUUAUUUUGUUUUUUGAAUGUGGGAGCUUUUUGAGACAUGUCGAACACCACUUGAUGGAAUCAAAAGCCGUGUUUUACAAUGAGACUAAUACUGUUUGUGAGGACCUUUAACCAAAGCAUUAACAUUGAAGAUUUAAAAAUAAAACAAAAACACCAGCAAACAAAGGCCACGGGAAUUAAUGACUCUUCAGAAUUCCCACAGUUAGAUAGCUGUAGAGUUGGGGCCUCAACUCCCCGAAAAGCAUGGAAGUUAAUGUAGAGGAGAUACAGCCAGGAGAAAAGAUCAUCUGAUGGUCCUGAGAAACCAGCAUCCCCUCCCUGUGACUUCUCAGUAUACCAGCAUUAUAAACAUGCACCAUCAGGUAAUCUCAAUUUUUAAAACACCCAAGUUGCAUUUUAGCCAGAUCCUGUGAUCUCAACAGUAAAAGAUGAGAUUAUUUAGUUGGACCCAGAAGUAUUUCUUGGGGCCAGAGCUUAACAUUGUAGUCAUUGUCUGAGUCUCUGGGAGCAAGUUAGAAUUUGAGAGUUGUGUGGAAUCAUUUCCUCUAUUAAAGUAUUUGGUACAGCAGCAUGUAGUACACUAACUACUCGGGAUGUCUGGGGACUUCCACAACCCUUGAUUUAUUCCCAGGGCAUAUCUUAAUGACUAUUGUGAUUUUGGCUGAUUAUAAAAGAGCCCCUUUUCCUGCUUACAAUUCUAAAUUAAAAAUAGGCCAGCCGUCAACUGGCUAAAAUCCCAUCUGCCUUUAGCUUUCACUAGCUAAUUCACAAGUAUGCCAGAAGCUUCACAAUGUACCCAUUAUUCCCCAAGGACUUCCUAUACAGUCUAGCACUAACCUGAUGACGUCUUAAGUUGGACCCAGGUGUGCUUGGUUGAGUCAGAAUUCCACAUUGCAGUUGUUACUACUUGGCCUUUGCCUUCUCUUUUUUUUGCAUCAAGUGAUUUGAUAUGAAAUAUGAAAUUUCAAAUCAUUACUCUACAAAAAUUUAUCUUUGAUAAUCUAGAUCCAGCUGAGUGAAUAAAGCAAGAAAUUAUAAACAACUCAGAUGACAUAUUUCAUGAAUGUUUUCUUACAAGGAACUUUUUGGCCAGGUAUGGUGGCUCACACCUGCAAUCCCAACACUUUGGGAGGCUGAGGUGGGAGGAUCGAGA